rnacentral:rRNA from 1 species
CGGCCCGUCGAGCGGCGGACGGGUGAGUAAUGCCUAGGAAAUUGCCCUGAUGUGGGGGAUAACCAUUGGAAACGAUGGCUAAUACCGCAUGAUGCCUACGGGCCAAAGAGGGGGACCUUCGGGCCUCUCGCGUCAGGAUAUGCCUAGGUGGGAUUAGCUAGUUGGUGAGGUAAGGGCUCACCAAGGCGACGAUCCCUAGCUGGUCUGAGAGGAUGAUCAGCCACACUGGAACUGAGACACGGUCCAGACUCCUACGGGAGGCAGCAGUGGGGAAUAUUGCACAAUGGGCGCAAGCCUGAUGCAGCCAUGCCGCGUGUGUGAAGAAGGCCUUCGGGUUGUAAAGCACUUUCAGUCGUGAGGAAGGUAGUGUAGUUAAUAGCUGCAUUAUUUGACGUUAGCGACAGAAGAAGCACCGGCUAACUCCGUGCCAGCAGCCGCGGUAAUACGGAGGGUGCGAGCGUUAAUCGGAAUUACUGGGCGUAAAGCGCAUGCAGGUGGUUUGUUAAGUCAGAUGUGAAAGCCCGGGGCUCAACCUCGGAAUUGCAUUUGAAACUGGCAGACUAGAGUACUGUAGAGGGGGGUAGAAUUUCAGGUGUAGCGGUGAAAUGCGUAGAGAUCUGAAGGAAUACCGGUGGCGAAGGCGGCCCCCUGGACAGAUACUGACACUCAGAUGCGAAAGCGUGGGGAGCAAACAGGAUUAGAUACCCUGGUAGUCCACGCCGUAAACGAUGUCUACUUGGAGGUUGUGGCCUUGAGCCGUGGCUUUCGGAGCUAACGCGUUAAGUAGACCGCCUGGGGAGUACGGUCGCAAGAUUAAAACUCAAAUGAAUUGACGGGGGCCCGCACAAGCGGUGGAGCAUGUGGUUUAAUUCGAUGCAACGCGAAGAACCUUACCUACUCUUGACAUCCAGAGAACUUUCCAGAGAUGGAUUGGUGCCUUCGGGAACUCUGAGACAGGUGCUGCAUGGCUGUCGUCAGCUCGUGUUGUGAAAUGUUGGGUUAAGUCCCGCAACGAGCGCAACCCUUAUCCUUGUUUGCCAGCGAGUAAUGUCGGGAACUCCAGGGAGACUGCCGGUGAUAAACCGGAGGAAGGUGGGGACGACGUCAAGUCAUCAUGGCCCUUACGAGUAGGGCUACACACGUGCUACAAUGGCGCAUACAGAGGGCGGCCAACUUGCGAAAGUGAGCGAAUCCCAAAAAGUGCGUCGUAGUCCGGAUUGGAGUCUGCAACUCGACUCCAUGAAGUCGGAAUCGCUAGUAAUCGUGGAUCAGAAUGCCACGGUGAAUACGUUCCCGG